ACGGGGGGUGCAAGCGUUGUUCGGAAUUAUUGGGCGUAAAGAGCGUGUAGGCGGCUUGGUAAGUCAGAUGUGAAAGCCCUGGGCUUAACCCAGGAAGUGCAGUGGAAACUGCCUAGCUUGAGAAAGGGAGAGGGAAGUGGAAUUCCUGGUGUAGAGGUGAAAUCCGUAGAUCCCAGGAGGACGACCGGUGGCGAAGGCAUCUCCCUGGAACUACUCCGACGCUGAGACGCGAGAGCUUGGGUAGCAAACAG
rnacentral:rRNA from 1 species